UCUUUGACUCGGAAAGGGAACUCCCUGACCCCUUGCGCUUCCCAGGUGAGGCAAUGCCUCGCCCUGCUUCGGCUCGCACACAGUGCACACACCCACUGGCCUGCAUCCACUGUCUGGCACUCCCUAGUGAGAUGAACCCGGUACCUCAGAUGGAAAUGCAGAAAUCACCCGUCUUCUGCGUCGCUCACGCUGGGAGCUGUAGACCGGAGCUGUUCCUAUUCGGCCAUCUUGGGUCUGGAUUCGGCAUUACAUGUCUUAACGGACAUCUUCUGUAACCAGAAGCACUCCAAGAACAACACUUUCAUUCAUGGACUUAACAACUACAUUAGAUCAUACCAGCCUGUCACUUCAAAGUCACCAGUGUCAAGGAACAUUUCAAAUUGGCUUAAAGCAUUGUUUUGGAGGUGUGAAUAAUGAAGCCAAGGACAUUAGCAACAUCAUGAAAGCAGGCAUCAAGUGAAUAGAGAAGAUUCUAUGGAUGUAGAAGAGGUCCCUGGGUUUCCGAAUUGCCACUGGAUUGCCUCUAUCAAAUACACAAGAGUUUCAUGAGUGAGAAAUAACCUUCUGUUGCUUUAAAUCUUGGGUUGUGCAAUACAUCAGUGAGCCUACCAUGACUAAUACAUUCUAUGGAUGCAGAUUUCUCUUCUCUGGCCAUUGACAUGAGUGUGCUUUCUGGAUGCAGUCACAGGGGACCCAAGAUUCUUGGACAGAAUUCUCGCCGGGAGCCAACUCAGCCUGAUCUGCUGGCAUCUCUCAAGUAUCAGAAGUCAACAAAAUGGUUUGCCUUGAAGACUUGGCCAGAGCAGCAGCCAAAGUUCAUAAGGCUUUCGUAGAGAGAUUGUUUGUCUAAGAAAACAAAAUUCUAAGGGCUCCCAUUGUGCAGCUGGGGUGGCAAAAUGCAAACUAAUAUAAGGAAAAAAAAUGCUUUUCAUUUCCAUGGAAGAAAUGACCCAUCCUAUUGUUGAUAUUUCCUUUUCUGUGCUAACUUAUUCCAUUAAUUAGGCUCUCGUUUUAUGAGAUAAUUUCACUGCAUGCGUAUCUUCUUUUGGUUAUUACACAAGGACUGUUUUCUAUGGUUCAUAUCUAAGUCCAACCCUGGAAAAAUCUUUUUUUUUGAGACAGCCUUUUUUGUUUUGUUUUGAGACAAUACUCCCUCUGUUGCCCAGGCUG
rnacentral:lncRNA from 1 species